rnacentral:siRNA from 1 species
AGGGAGAAACUUGGUGAUUUGCA